rnacentral:rRNA from 1 species
GUGGAGCAAUCCAUGAGUAAAGUGGCGCACGGGUGAGUAACACGUGACUAACCUACCCUUGAGUGGGGGAUAACUGAGGGAAACCUUAGCUAAUACCGCAUAAUACCUACGGGUCAAAGGAGCAAUUCGCUCGAGGAGGGGGUCGCGGCCGAUUAGUUAGUUGGCGGGGUAAUGGCCCACCAAGACUAUGAUCGGUAUCCGGCCUGAGAGGGCGCACGGACACACUGGAACUGAAACACGGUCCAGACUCCUACGGGAGGCAGCAGUGGGGAAUUUUGCGCAAUGGGGGAAACCCUGACGCAGCAACGCCGCGUGAAGGAUGAAGUCCUUCGGGACGUAAACUCCCUUCGAUCGGGACGAUUAUGACGGUACCGGAAGAAGAAGCCCCGGCUAACUUCGUGCCAGCAGCCGCGGUAAUACGAGGGGGGCGAGCGUUGUUCGGAAUUAUUGGGCGUAAAGGGUGCGUAGGCGGUUUGGUAAGUCUUUUGUGAAAUCUCUGGGCUCAACUCAGAGCUUGCAGGAGAAACUGCCGGGCUUGAGUGUGGGAGAGGUGAGUGGAAUUUCCGGUGUAGCGGUGAAAUGCGUAGAUAUCGGAAGGAACACCUGUGGCGAAAGCGGCUCACUGGACCACAACUGACGCUGAUGCACGAAAGCUAGGGGAGCAAACAGGAUUAGAUACCCUGGUAGUCCUAGCCCUAAACGAUGACUGCUUGGUGUGACGGGUACCCAAUCCCGCCGUGCCGUAGCUAACGCGUUA